rfam:Bacteroidales bacterium KA00251 genomic scaffold Scaffold135, whole genome shotgun sequence.
GGGGGUUUAGCUCAGCUGGCUAGAGCACCUGCUUUGCAAGCAGGGGGUCAUCGGUUCGAAUCCGAUAUCCUCCA